GGGUGUUUGCCUGAGCGGGUGUUUACCUACGGAGUGCAUAUUUACAGAUUUAUCUGAGAAUUUUGCCUGAAUGGGUAUACACUAGCAAGGCUGUUCACCUGAGCAGGUGUUUCCUUGCAAGAGUAUUUACCUGAGUGGGUUUUUACCUGCACUGUGCCUGGCAGAGAGCUGGGUAGAGGAGUCAGAGGCACCAAGGUUAGAGGCUGGCUCUCCCGCUUGCCAGCUGAGACCUCAGGCCUCAGUUUACAGAUUUGAGGACUGGAAGAAUCUGUGCUGCAGGUGGCUGGGAGGACUGGGAUAUUUCCUGGUGCCUGGUGUGUCCUAGUAGGUACACAACAAAUGCCAGUGACUACUUCUAGAGAUCACAGCCUGCUGUCCCCACAGCUGCCUGGUGAGGUUGCUGCCUGAAUCCAAGAGAGAAGGGGGUGCAAUGGGAAGUGGAGUCAGCAGCGUUUAGGAGAAUGGAGUGUUUGGAAUCCAGGCCAUUGUCAGGUGUUCAAAAAAGACUCGGGAUUGAGAUUCCCAAGGAGGGAAAAAAAAAAAUCAAAACUAAAAAGACCCAACCAACUGAGGAGCAGGUUCAGGACCUAUCUAUAGCAGAAGUUUUCAAAUGUAGCCAAAGUGACUGUUGGCACAGGGUUUUUUUUUUUUCCAUUAACCCAACUUAAAUGUUUUGUUGAGGGAAAAUUUUGGUUUCAUCAU